rnacentral:rRNA from 1 species
ACCGUACGCCUACAAGCGGUCGGAGCUCCUUUAUGGAGUGACGGCGUGCCUUUUGCAUAAUGAACCUACGAGUUGCCGGUAUCAGCAAGGUUAAGGGUUUAGAAGUCCCGCAGCCGAAGCGAAAGCGAGUCUUAACAGGGCGCUGAGUUGUUACAGGCAGACGCGAAACCAAGUGAUCUACCCUUGUCCAGGAUGAAGUCCGGGUAACACCGGAUGGAGGUCCGCACCAAUAAGCGUUGAAAAGCUUCUGGAUGAGGUGAGGGUAGGAGUGAAAGGCCAAUCAAACUUGGAGAUAGCUCGUACUCCCCGAAAUGCAUUUAGGUGCAGCCUAUGGUGUUUACUGCGUGAGGUAGAGCGACUGAUCGGAUGCGAGGGCUUCACCGCCUAUCAAGUCCGGACAAACUCCGAAUGCGCGCAGUUAAGAGCCAUGGAGUGAGGGCGCGGGUGCUAAGGUCCGUGCCCGAGAGGAGAAGAAUCCAGACCAUCAGCUAAGGUCCCGAAGUAAUGAUUAAGUUAAACUAACGAAGUGUGGUCUCAGCGACAGCUAGGAUGUUGGCUUGGAAGCAGCCAUUCAUUCAAAGAGUGCGUAACAGCUCACUAGUCGAGAGACCGUGCAUGGAUAAUAAUCGGGUAUUAAAUCAUUCACCGAAGCUAUGGAAACCGUAAGGUUUGGUAGGGGAGCAUUCCAAGUGCGUUGAAGGUAUGAGACGACUCAUACUGGAGCGCUUGGAAAAGCAAAUGUAGGUAUAAGUAACGAUAAAGGGGGUGCGAUGCCCCCUCGCCGCAAGACUAAGGAUUCCCGGGCAACGUUAAUCGGCCCGGGGUAAGUCGGGACCUAAGGAUAAGCCGAAAGGCGAGGCCGAUGGAAGAGACGGUAAAAAUUCCGUCACUAGCUUAUGGGGCGAUGUGGAGACGGAGCAGUGACACUGCCGCGUUCUGACGGAAAUGGACGUUAAAGAGUGUAGGCUAUGAGGAAGGCAGGCAAAUCCACCUUCUGAGCUGAACUUAAUAGUAUGCAAGGCCUUCGGGCUGCGCAAUAGAGCAGGUAAGCAGACUCCCGAGAAAAUCCGCUAAGCUUAACCCAUAAGGUACCCGUACCGUAAACGGACACACGUAGUCGGGUAGAAUAUACUGAGGCGCUUGGAAGAUUCAUGGUUAAGGAACUAGGCAAAUUGACCCUGUAACUUCGGGAGAAAGGGUCCCUGCAGCAAUGUAGGGCGCAGAGAAUAGGUCCAGGCAACUGUUUAACAAAAACACAGGGCUGUGCAAAAUCGAAAGAUGAAGUAUACAGUCUGACACCUGCCCGGUGCCGGAAGGUUAAGAGGAGAGCUCAGAGGCAACUCGAAGGUUUGAAUUGAAGCCCCGGUAAACGGCGGCCGUAACUAUAACGGUCCUAAGGUAGCGAAAUUCCUUGUCGGGU